rnacentral:lncRNA from 1 species
AUGAAUCUCCAUUCUGUCAUUCUGCUUUCUGCCUUUGCAUAUGCAACGUAUGGAAAUGAAAUUAAACCUACCAAAACAGAGGAGUUUGCUGAAGAGGAUUCAAGUGUUCAAUUAUCCUGCAGUUAUUCAUCUGCAUACUAUAUUCACUGGUACCGUCAGUAUCCCAGAUCAGCUCCUCAGUUCAUUGAGUCACUAAAGACAAUAAAGAAAGCCAUGUGUAUCUGGAGAUCUCCUCUGCAUCUAUAUCAGACUCUGCUCUGUACUACUGCGCUCUGCAGCCCACAGUGACAGGAAACACAAGAACACUGUACAAAAACCUGACAUAACUAAAACUCUACCUUGUAGAAAUUAGACUGGAGCACAUCACAGUCAAGAGAAUCACAUUCCCAAAAUAUCAGCUCAGACACUGAGAACAAAAUCUGAUAAAAUGCAUUCAAAUAUCCAUGUUUAAAAUAAGUUAUAAUAACUUUGUAAAAUGGUACAUUUAGAAAGAAAAGAAAAUAAAAUAAACUAAAAGUAAUGAAAAGAAAAGUAAAG